GAUGAACGCUGGCGGCGUGCUUAACACAUGCAAGUCGAACGAAGCACUUAUCUUUGAUUCUUCGGAUGAAGAGGUUUGUGACUGAGUGGCGGACGGGUGAGUAACGCGUGGGUAACCUGCCUCAUACAGGGGGAUAACAGUUAGAAAUGACUGCUAAUACCGCAUAAGACCACGGAGCCGCAUGGCUCCGUGGGAAAAACUCCGGUGGUAUGAGAUGGACCCGCGUCUGAUUAGGUAGUUGGUGGGGUAACGGCCUACCAAGCCAACGAUCAGUAGCCGACCUGAGAGGGUGACCGGCCACAUCGGGACUGAGACACGGCCCAAACUCCUACGGGAGGCAGCAGUGGGGAAUAUUGCACAAUGGGGGAAACCCUGAUGCAGCGACGCCGCGUGAGCGAAGAAGUAUUUCGGUAUGUAAAGCUCUAUCAGCAGGGAAGAAAAUGACGGUACCUGACUAAGAAGCACCGGCUAAAUAC
rnacentral:rRNA from 1 species